GAGAUGUACCAGGAGUCUAUAAAGAGUCUAUAAAGACGAUUGUUACAUACUCCUGUUUGUCUGUCAGCAUGUUAGGAGUGAAACGACUGGUUCCCCCAUUCUUAUAUAGUAUAAUGUGACUCUGCAGGAUGUCUUUGGCAGUAUGCUUCAGUGAGGUAGCACUAUAAAGUCGGUAUAAUUUCCUCACUUUCACAAGGAGACCACCACAAACAUACCGCAGCCUCCAAAAACACACAUGAAUCUCGCUCACAGGGGAGGCCAUCCUUAAAAAACCUUAGCUGUUGAUACGAUUUAAACAAUAUAUACUAAACCAAGCAUUCAAUGGAAGGCACCAAGAUGGAAUCUGUUGUUUUGAAAUCAAUUUUGUAUAAAAUUCAAAUUCAGAAAAAUAAUGCAAAUUUAUUGAUUCCCUUGAGAAUUGUCCAUCAACUGCAAUGACAUUUUUUUUUUGGGGGGGGUUACAGAAAAUUGAGUGUGUUGAUGGACAGCUUGAUUUGGUUUAAUUCUUAAUUGAUUAUAUUCCAGUGAGUUUAAUAAUCUGUAACAGUCCUGUACGAUUCUAGCAGUGUUACUUUGUCAUAUUCAUGUAAUAAUAAUAUUCUAUACUAUAAUGACACUCCAUUCCAACACAUCGAGUGCAGCUCUAAAUGUAUCACAUCUCGUCACUAUGCAGUGCUGAAUAUUUAAUGUCGUACACUAGUGUAUGUUAUAUAUGACUCCGUACACCUUGUAUGUGUUUGUGGUCUUUGUUUAUAAUUGCAAUAACUCUACUAAUAACAUUUGUUACUGAAUUGUUGCUGAAAAAAGUCUGCAGAAAACAUUUUAAUAUCUACACAUGUCCAUUUUGAAAGAUUGAAUGCUGAUGACGUUUUCUCAUUUUUUUAAAUUUUUUUUUUGUAAUAGACAUUUAUAUGUUACUGUGACACUACAACUGUGAAAUAAAAUCUGAAGACAUAGACUGUAACCUUGGAGGAGUUCUAAGAACUUUGAAGACUGCAGCAUACUUAAAGACCAUGUGCCUCGAUCUUGUAUACAGGGCCAUCAGACACCAGGAAGGUUUCCUGUAUCCUAUCAUGUGUCAUCUCCAUCAGACACCACAAAGGUUUCCUGUAUCCUAUCAUGUCCAUCAGAAACCAUGAAGGUUUCCUGUAUCCUAUCAUGUCCAUCAGACACCAUGAAGGUUUCCUGUAUCCUAUCAUGUGUCAUCUCCAUCAGACACCAUGAAGGUUUCCUGUAUCCUAUCAUGUCCAUCAGACACCAUGAAGGUUUCCUGUAUCCUAUCAUGUCCAUCAGACACCAUGAAGGUUUCCUGUAUCCUAUCAUGUCCAUCGGACACCAUGAAGGUUCCUGUAUCCUAUCAUGUGUCGUGUCCAUCAGACACCAUGGAGGUUUCCUGUAUCCUAUCAUGUCCAUCAGACACCAUGAAGGUUUCCUGUAUCCUAUCAUGUCCAUCAGACACCAUGAAGGUUUCCUGUAUCCUAUCAUGUGUUGUGUCCAUCAGACACCAUGAAGGUUUCCUGUAUCCUAUCAUGUCCAUCAGACACCAUGAAGGUUUCCUGUAUCCUAUCAUGUGUCAUGUCCAUCAGACACCAUGAAGGUUUCCUGUAUCCUAUCAUGUCCAUCAGACACCAUGAAGGUUUCCUGUAUCCUAUCAUGUCCAUCAGACACCAUGAAGGUUCCCUGUAUCCUAUCAUGUCCAUCAGACACCAUGAAGGUUCCCUGUAUCCUAUCAUGUCCAUCAGACACCAUGAAGGUUUCCUGUAUCCUAUCAUGUCCAUCAGACACCAUGAAGGUUUCCUGUAUCCUAUCAUGUGUCAUGUCCAUCAGACACCAUGGAGGUUUCCUGUAUCCUAUCAUGUGUUGUGUCCAUCAGACACCAUGAAGGUUUCCUGUAUCCUGUCAUGUGUCAUGUCCAUCAGACACCAUGACGGUUUCCUGUAUCCUAUCAUGUCCAUCAGACACCAUGAAGGUUUCCUGUAUCCUAUCAUGUGUUGUGUCCAUCAGACACCAUGAAGGUUUCCUGUAUCCUAUCAUGUCCAUCAGACACCAUGAAGGUUUCCUGUAUCCUAUCAUGUGUCAUGUCCAUCAGACACCAUGAAGGUUUCCUGCAUCCUAUCAUGUCCAUCAGACACCAUGACGGUUUCCUGUAUCCUAUCAUGUCUCAUCAGACACCAUGAAGGUUUCCUGUAUCCUAUCAUGUGUCAUGUCCAUCUGACACCAUGAAGGUUUCCUGUAUCCUAUCAUGUGUCAUGUCCAUCAGACACCAUGACGGUUUCCUGUAUCCUAUCAUGUCCAUCAGACACCAUGAAGGUUUCCUGUAUCCUAUCAUGUGUCAUGUCCAUCAGACACCAUGAAGGUUUCCUGUAUCCUAUCAUGUGUUGUGUCCAUCAGACACCAUGAAGGUUUCCUGUAUCCUGUCAUGUGUCAUGUCCAUCAGACACCAUGACGGUUUCCUGUAUCCUAUCAUGUCCAUCAGACACCACAAAGGUUUCCUGUAUCCUAUCAUGUGUUGUGUCCAUCAGACACCAGGAAGGUUUCCUGUAUCCUAUCUUGUCCAUCAGACACCAUGAAGGUUUCCUGUAUCCUAUCAUGUCCAUCAGACACCAUGAAGGUUUCCUGUAUCCUAUCAUGUCCAUCAGACACCAUGAAGGUUUCCUGUAUCCUAUCAUGUCCAUCAGACACCACGAAGGUUUCCUGUAUCCUAUCAUGUGUCAUCUCCAUCAGACACCACGAAGGUUCCUGUAUCCUAUCAUGUGUCAUGUCCAUCAGACACCAUGAAGGUUUCCUGUAUCCUAUCAUGUGUCAUCUCCAUCAGACACCAUGAAGGUUUCCUGUAUCCUAUCAUGUGUCAUGUCCAUCAGACACCACAAAGGUUUCCUGUAUCCUAUCAUGUCCAUCAGACACCAUGAAGGUUUCCUGUAUCCUAUCAUGUGUCAUGUCCAUCAGACACCAUGAAGGUUUCCUGUAUCCUAUCAUGUGUUGUGUCCAUCAGACACCAUGAAGGUUUCUGAUUUAUUCACUAGGGAAGUGUGACUUUUUUGCCAGAACUACUGAAAAUUCAUGGUAAUUUUUUGUCACCAUUUAUCUAAGAAACAUUCUAAUAAUGAAUUGUUAAAAUAGAUUUUGUGGUAUUUUUUCUGUGUUGUAUAACAUGUAUUCAGUGUGAAGCACAAAAUGUUUUGAAAAUCUUCUACACAAUAAAAUAUUAUCAACUCUA